CAUAGGAGGGCUAACUAGGCUCAUAAAAUGCUUCGAUGAUGAUAGCCCUACACAAAGGAAGAGGACAGAGGACCUCAUUUUCUAAAGGAAGAUCCCUCACACACUUUCAAGACUGUGAAGCCGACAGGUAUUGAAGACACGUUUUCUAAGAGGAUGAAAGUUGGCAUUGUGAUGGUG